rnacentral:tRNA from 1 species
UGACCUAUAGCUCAAUGGUAGAGCUUCCGGUUGUUAACCGGACGGUUGUAAGUUCGAAUCUUACUAGGUCAG